rnacentral:rRNA from 1 species
GCCACCCCAGGGGAGGCGGGGCUACCCGCUGAAUU